CCUACGGGAGGCAGCAGUGGGGAAUAUUGGACAAUGGGGGGAACCCUGAACCAGCGACGCCGCGUGAGUGAAGAAGUCUUUCGGUAUGUAAAGCUCUAUCAGCAGGGAAGAAAAUGACGGUACCUGACUAAGAAUCCCUGGCUAAUUACGUGCCAGCAGCCGCGGUAAUACGUAGGCGGCAAGCGUUAUCCGGAUUUACUGGGUGUAAAGGGAGCGUAGACGGUGCAGCAAGUCUGUUGUGAAAGUUCGGGGCCCAACCCCGGGAUUGCAUUUGAAACUGUAAAACUUGAGUACAGGAGAGGUAAGCGGAAUUCCUGGUGUAGCGGUGAAAUGCGUAGAUAUUAGGAGGAACACCAGUGGCGAAGGCGGCUUACUGGACUGUAACUGACGUUGAGGCUCGAAAGCGUGGGGAGCAAACAGGAUUAGAUACCCUAGUAGUC
rnacentral:rRNA from 1 species